CCUUAAUAAAAUAACCCAAAACAUAACCCAAAACAUGCAUUCAUACACCAGUAAAUCUCACAUAUCAUAUCACCAGAUAGCUCAAAAUGUCAGCUGUAUACAGUUUUAAAAGCGCACUAAUUCUCUGUGGGUUGUAGGAUAGUCUACAUUUGAUCAGCCAUGGCAAUAGCCCAAUUACAUUUAUGGAGCUACAAGCUUAAGCAUCCC